rnacentral:rRNA from 1 species
UACGGAGGAUCCAAGCGUUAUCCGGAUUUAUUGGGUUUAAAGGGCGCGUAGGCGGCUCAUGAAGGCUGUGGUGAAAGUCCGGGGCUCAACCUCGGAUCGGCCGUGGCGACUCGUGGGCUGGAGCACUGUAGAGGCGGGUGGAAUUCCGGGUGUAGCGGUGGAAUGCGUAGAGAUCCGGAAGAACACCAGUGGCGAAGGCGGCCCGCUGGGCAGUGGCUGACGCUGAAGCGCGACAGCGUGGGGAGCAAACAGG